rnacentral:rRNA from 1 species
CCUACGGGAGGCAGCAGUGGGGAAUAUUGCACAAUGGGGGAAACCCUGAUGCAGCGACGCCGCGUGAGUGAAGAAGUAUUUCGGUAUGUAAAGCUCUAUCAGCAGGGAAGAAACCCACCCUCCGGGGUGGCUGACGGUACCUGACUAAGAAGCCCCGGCUAACUACGUGCCAGCAGCCGCGGUAAUAAGUAGGGGGCAAGCGUUAUCCGGAUUUACUGGGUGUAAAGGGAGCGUAGGUGGCAAGGCAAGUCAGAGGUGAAAACCCGGGGCCCAACCCCGGGAGUGCAUUUGAAACUGUAUGGCUAGAGUGCAGGAGAGGUAAGUGGAAUUCGUAGUGUAGCGGUGAAAUGCAUAGAUAUUAGGAGGAACACCGGGGGCGAAGGCGGCUUACUGGACUGUAACUGACACUGAGGCUCGAAAGCGUGGGGAGCAAACAGGAUUAGAUACCCUUGUAGUC